AAAAUGUUACUCUUGAAAUUUUGCAAUUGUGAAUGCCAUAUGUAUUUGACAGUUUUUCCUAAAUGUAUUUUUUUUUUUCUAAUUUGUUCAAUUAUUAUUAAAACCGCUUAGAGAAACAAAACAUGACUUCCUUAAUAUACUAAUAUACUAAUAGAGGUUGAUUCUGCAACAAAAAUGGCUCUCUGUAAUUUCAUUGAUAUCAACAAAAUUUCCUAUAGAAAAGUUAUUUAAAAGCA